UACAGCUACCACCUCUAAGUGUUAAGUGUACCCUGGGAGGGGACCAUUCCCAGCACAGCAAAAGGCCCAUGGAGAAAACAGGGGCAGGGGAUGUAAAAGGGGUGUGAGGCAGACAGACACAAAUCAUUUCUCUCUUCCACCCUUCUGUAAGACACUGCGCAGGGUUGGCUUUCACUGUUUUCUUUACUUGAGAGGCAGGAGAAAAGGCCAAGAGAUGGGAGAGGGGAGUUGGGGUGUGGACAGCCCUGCUGUAAGACCAGCAACUGAGCUAUAGGGGACUGCAGCAAGCACUGCAGAGAAGGCUGCUGGGGAGCUCCGCCUACUUGGUCCUAGUGUCCUGGUAGGCUUGCCGGCAUGUUUCCGGCCCAGCCACUCAAACAGUGUAGGUUCCCAUUUGUAACUAAGUUGGGGUUUCUAGCCCCCAUCCUGUUGGGAACAACUGUGCAUUAAUGAGAGGAGCCCAGGACUUGACAUCGGAGACCAAGGUUUGGACACGCUCCACUGCCUCCUGGCUUCCUGACCUUGCCCAAAGACUUACUGUCCAUGUCCCCAAGAGGGAUGCUAAUGGUUCCUUGCUUCUCAGAUCUCAGGUAAUUUCCCUGACAAUGGAUGCACAUUAGCCCCUAAGGGCUUUCCCAGGUGGGAGCGUUAGGAAGCAGUGUGGGAAGGAGCGGCUGCCCUCCAUUCCUGUCUCUUUAGCUACCUGUCCAGAUUGGAGAAUCCUUGUUUUAGACAAUGACCCCUCACUUCGGAAACCUGCUUCAAUCCUGGUCUCCCUGAAUCCAGGCACCAUCCCAAUAGGAAUAGACUCUGCUGCCAGAGAUAUCCAUCACAUAGGAUGGGUGCGGAACAGUCACUGCUUAAAUCCGCAAAAGCAUUCUUCCAGCAGUGUAGAUUGGAAAGAACUCUUGGCAGCUUGGCCUCUCCGGGAAGCAUGUCCUCUGGGCGGCCUGCCCUACCAGCCCCGGGAGCCGCCGCAUGCUUCCUCUGUAGGACUCCCAGCCCUCCUUGCACACACCCAGCUCAGGGAGCCCCAGGCAUACGUCCCCUGCCUAGUCUCCAGCUAGAGCUGAUACAUAGGGGACGCUGCGGGCCCUACUGCCCGCCUCGUUCUGGGAAGGGACGGGAGGUGCUGUGGCUGGCCCAGCAACCUGCGUCCUGGCGCCCCGCCUCGGUGCAGUUCCAGAGGCUGUCCGGUCAGGUCCAAGGCAGCUAAGGAAGCUCUCGCCACGCUCCUCACCCGGCUUGAGCUUCACCCCGCUGGCUAAAGCCACACAGCCACACCCACGUGCAGGUUUCCCACGACUCUGCUGGGAAGGAACGGAAAAGCCAAGGAACAACUGCCAGCCCAGACCCUACUCAUCUUCUCAGGGCCCCAGGUACCUUGGCAAAGGAGUGCCUGCAAACAAAGGCAGCAUCCCUGCAGUUGCCAGCCCCCUCCAUCCGGGGGCCAGACCCCCUCCCCCUCAGGAAUUAAGAGGUACCCAUCUCCCUACAGAAGACCCAGGAAGGUUCUGCAGCUGGAUAUUCUAUGUACAGUCAGGCUCUGGCACGGGCUCUUGUUGAGGUCCUCUGCCCAGAGAGGACACUGUAUUUCCCCAAGCCGGUUAACCAGAAUGUGAUCUUAUAUCCUGGGCCGCUUCCUCCAUCCUCUCAAAAGAGAUCCAAGAAAGCUCGCCCAGGCUAGCUAAGGCGCACUUAGAUUCAAGGGCACGAGGGUGGGGGCGCUUUACGGGAUCCAUGUCCCAUAGGACAAUGAAAAGAAAUAAAAACCUCCAGGCAAGGACGCACACCUCCCUACCCAGCAGUAGAACUUUGAGGGCUGCAAGAUUAACAGCAACUCUCCCACUGACAGGCACCCUUGGACCUCUCUGAACCGGCAAGGAGGAGGAACUCAUCUCACAAACCUGUGCUGUAGGGACCAGAUCGCUGGAGAUCUCGGUGUCCCCGCAGGUGUGAACCCCCUGCGGGCGUGAGUUGGGGGGAGGGGCACUCUAGCCUCGCUCCCCGCACAGCCUCCCUCCACCCCCAAUUCAUUCACAAAACAAGAGCCGCAAGGGAGGAAGGGAGGAGAGGCUGCGGGAGCCCAGGAUGUCGGAAGAAAGGGAGGAGGGGGUAGGGAACAUGGUGCAAGCGACUGCCGCCGGGAAGCAUUGAGCGGCCGGAGCCCCAGGGUCCCCAGGUCGCGGUAAGAGGCUCCGGCCCCUUGGGUGCGCUCACCGUGCCGCCGGCUGCCGGCGUUCCGGUGCUCAGCAGGCCCGCGGCGGCUCCAUGCUCCUCCUCCGGCUCCCGCCGCCGCGCACUGCCUCCACGGUGCCGCUGGGGCUCCGACUGACGACCGCCUUGCCCAGCAGAGCCGCCUUAAGUAUCGCGCGCGACCCACUGGGAAAGGCGCCCUCCUCCGGCACCAGGGCAGGGAAAGUUGGCAAGAGUGGGAGGGCUCCCGGAGCCCGCGGGAGCGCCCGGUGCCCGGCCACCGGCUGGCGCUCGCCAGACUCGGGGUCUGUCGUGGACCUAGCCCCUCCGAAUCGAGAGUCGCAACCUCUGCCUCUAGAAAACUAGGGACCCCCAGUGCAGCCCAAGGCUCAGCUGCUCCACGCCGACCUCCGGGCCAGCAGCCUUGGAAAGGCUGUCAUUGUCCCUAGCCUAGUACCUGAAGCAUCGUUAACUUUCCGGAUGACCAGUGGGGACCUACAAAAUCGUUCAUGUCCAUCCCCGCCCCCACGCCCCGCUCCCGAAACCUGGAAACCUACUCACCCUGCAAACGGGCUACCCCAGAAAAUCUUCUGAACGCCAAGGGGCGGCUCGCUAUGUGAGGGGACUCCCUAAAAACCUUCCCGGUGGCAACAGAGAGGGACAGAAAAGAAAAAUUGUCAAAUAAAAGGAGGCUGGUCAAAGAAGGUGUUAACUAUUAUGACAAGCUGAGCUUUGAAUUCCGCAGCGGGGCGCUGAUGACUUUAAGGCUGUUUGCAAAAGCUGCAGAUUGGUCUAGCAGGAAUCCAGGAGGUUCCGGUCUUAAAGCCCAAACGGCUCUUCCUCCCCACCUUUCUUUCCCACGUCCCGACCUCUUAGGUCCCCAUCCGACAUCCUCGCUGGCAGUUCCGUGGUCCCUGGAAGUUGGUGUAGACUCCUCCGGUGAGGUGAAGCCGAGAGGGAGUCCAGGGGAGAAGAGUGUUUGUUAGAGGUAGAAACUCUAGAACCAGCUGGAGAUCUCGAGGUUUUACAUCUCAGAAAAACCUGAAGAGAAAUUGUAAUUAAAGACUAGUUUUAAAAAUGAAUUUAUGGGUCCUCCAACCGUCAGAGAUAACUUCGCAGGCGGAAACAAUUUAAUAGGCAUGUGAGCUGCUCCAGUCAGGAAGCCAUCCCUCUCAGACAUGCCCAUAGGUCACUUAGCCACAGAAUCCACAACACAGCCACCCUGGGCCCCUGCUCCGCCCACUCCCACCCUGACAGACAAAAUCAAAACCUUUCACCCUGCUUCAUUCAGGAGAAACACCACUGCAUGGGCUAAAGGGCUGGGCAGUGAGUGAGUUUGUUUUGUUGAGACAGAGUCUGUAGCCCGGGAUAGGCCUUUGAACUUCCCAUAUAGCCAAGGAUAGAUAAACCUGAACUUCUUAUCCUCUUUAACUCCGAAGAGAAGGAUGAGGGCCACCACACCCAGUUUAUUCACUGAUGGGGACUGAAUCCUGAGCUCUGUGCAUGCUUUGUCAAAGUUCUAGCCCCAGCUCCAAAGAGUGUGCUCUUAAAGGCUGUUGAGAUGGCUCUUUGAGUGAUGACACUUUGGACCAAACCUGAGUUCCAGUCUCUGGGACAUGUUGGAAGGAGAAGGCCAACUAGCUCAAGUCCUCUUCUGACCUCUACACAAUGAUAUACACAUCCACGAUAAAUAGAUAAGAUAUAGAAAUAACGGCUGGUAUUGACCCAUGUUGUCAUGUGUGCUGAGCUACCAAUGGUCAGAGGGGCCCUGCUAUAGCCUGCAAUAGAUACUCAGAGAAGUAGUGUCUGGGUAAAGAGGGUUGCUCAGGAGUCUGUCAGCUUGUUUUACUACGGGCUGUGACAGUAUAAACCUCAAUGUCUCCAUGGUAGAAAUGAGGUAGAGGAAGGACUGUUCCAAGAUUUGCAGAGUCCUCGAGAGAGUACAUGACAAGCCACAGUCACUUCAGCCUGAGAUGGCUUCAUCCGGCCAAUCCAGCUGUUCAGUUACAAGCAGUUUCUAAUUGGUGUUUAGAUAAAUCUGUUAUUACAGAUCCUAGGAGGCCGGGGCCACCCAUGCCACGCCCAGAGGCAUUCAAGUCUGGAGAAGCCAGGGUCUUAGGGAUCCUUUUGAUCUUCCCUCCUCUCUCCCAGAGUUGUAAUAUGCAACAUUUUAGAUCAAGGAAAACAAGCUGGGCUGAGGCAAAAUUAGGUGCACUGGCCCCAUGGAGAGGAGAUACCCCAUACAGAAGUUCGCCCCCCUGUGAUGGGAGGGCCUAGCCUAGCCACUUGGAGAAACCAAAAAAAUUUAGUCUUGCACGUGAAAUCUCUUCAUUUUUAAGUGUUAGCAGCUAAUUCAGAUGUUGGACACAAACAUCCCAUAGGUCAGGCAAAAUGCAUCAGUCAUUGUCUGCCAAUUGGCUGCUUGUGAAUCGAUCUGUUUAGAGGCUCAAGGAAUGGGGCAGCAAUCUUGAAAAGGUCCAGUUCUGUCCCCAGAAUGGCUUCUCUGGGUGCACAUUCCCUCUCCUGCCACUGUUCCAGGGCCAGCUUGUGUGUGUCAGUUUCUGAGGCUCCAACUGUGACCCGCUAGGCUUCUUACCACUCUGCUGGCUCUAGAGUGGGGCUGGUUCAGCACAUCAUUGCCAGUCAAUUAAGACCUUCCCCAGAAACAGUGGGCCCAGCUAGGACAGUCAGCACUUGCCUAUACCAAUGGACUUUGCUCCAUUCUGAUGUGCAGGACCAGGACCUGGUAUGAUCAGGAAAAUACAAACUGUCUUUACCAUUUUUUUUUGUAAAGGCUGCCUGUGCCAGGGAGGAUUUGCAAUAAUUAGCAUCCAGUUUGAGGGUCCCUGUUUGCAUUAUCCCUUCACUGUAAAGUGGUCCAGGGGCUGCUACAUUAAUGCCUGGAGUUUAUCUCCGAGUACUAGGGAUGUAGAAAUGGGGUUAAUUCCAUAUCUAGUCACUUAGAAACAUCUAUUCAGACUUGAAGAAUUGACUUUUGCAGACACUAAGCCCCUCAAUCUUGCUCAGAAGAUUUUUUUUUUCUUUUUUUUCUUUUUUUUCUUUUUUUUUUUUUUUUUUUGGUUUUUCGAGACAGGGUUUCUCUGUGUAGCCCUGGCUGUCCUGGAACUCACUCUGUAGACCAGGCUGGCCUCGAACUCAGAAAUCCGCCUGCCUCUGCCUCCCGAGUGCUGGGAUUAAAGGCAUGCGCCACCAUGCCCGGCUGCUCAGAAGAUUCUUGCCACACUCACUUAACUCACAUGGGAAACUGCUCAGGGCAGGCGGCCUGAGGCUAGUUGCCACACGUCGACUAUCCAUAUUGAAGACAAUCCACUUGCAAAAUUAAGUUGUCCCAAGAGGCAGUUCCUUCUUUCCUCAUCCUGCCUACUUUUGAGGCCAGGUGUAGCCCAAGUUCCCCCAAACUCUUAGUGAUCCUUCUGCCUCAACCUCCAGAGUGCUGAGAUGGCGGGCAUGUGCCACACAGCUGGUUAUCAUUAGUGAUGAUGGGGAGAUCUACCUGGAGCAGUGAGGACAUCAGAAGAGAGGUCUCUGUGGGCUAGAAUGAAUUGGACAGAGGUCCAUGGAGAACACUCUAGCUAGGAAGACAAACUGCAGGAAUGUGUGCAGAAUGGCAUGUGUGCAGAGUGGCAAAGGGAGGCCUGGCUGAGACAAGACAUUUACCCCAUAGACCUUCCAGCUGUGACUAGUGAUGGAGUCUGGCCGCUCUGAAAAGAGGGUGGCUAAGGACCACACUGUGUGUGACUUUAACAUACCAAGCAAGGAUUCUGGAGUUGUUUAGUAGGCUACAAGCACUGCUAACAGGUAGACUGGGUCACGGGCAACAUUUAUCGGUAAGGAUGGGAAUCAGGACUCAGAGGUCUGAGAGGCGAAUCAGCCAGCAGAGGGCUGAGAGGGGGUGGGGAUAAGAACUGUGGGUGCUGCUUUCAGAAGGUGACAGUGUCACCCACUGUGGGCCCAGAGGAUGGCAGGAUGAAGUGUUUAAAAAGAGAGAGAUUUCCCCCAAGCUGGGGCAGGCUGAGACAGAAGGAUUACUUGACCCUGUGAGUUCAAGACUAGCCUGAGCCAGGUAUAGUGGUACACACCUUUAAUCUCAGCAUUCAGGAGGUAGACACAGGCAGGUUUGUGUGAGUUUGAGGCUUGCCUCCUGGUCUACAUAGAGAGUUCCAGGGUAGCCAGAGCUAGAGAUACUAGAGAUAUCCUGUCCCAAAGAAAGAGAGGGAGAGAGAGAGAGAGAGAGAGAGAGAGAGAGAGAGAGAGAGAGGAAGAAGAAGAAGAAGAAGAAGAAGAAGAAGAAGAAGAAGAAGAAGAAGAAGAAGAAGAAGAAAAAGAAGAGAGAAAAGAAAAGAGAAAAAGGAAAGAAGAGAAUAGGCAAGGAAAGAAAAGGAAAAGAAAAGGAAAGGAAAAGGAAAAGGAAAGGAAAGGAGAAAGGAAAGGGGAAAGGAAGGGAAAGAGAAAGGGGAAAAAAGGGAAGGAAAGGAAAGGAAAGGAAAGGAAAGGAAAGGAAAGGAAAGGAAAGGAAAGGAAAGGGAAAGGGAAAGGGAAAGGGAAAGGGAAAGGAAAGGAAAGGAAAGGAAAGGAAAGGAAAGGAAAGGAAAGGAAAGGACUAGCCUGGAGACAUAGUAAGUCCCCCAUCUGUCUCCAACCAAUCAAAUAGUGGCUUUGUUUUCUCUACUGGGUGAUAGUGCUUUCCUUCUCUUGAGACAGUACACUUCACAAUUUGACUUAGCACAUUAUUCAGAGUGGAGAGUGUGUGCCUUGAGUACAGCAAGGCAGCUACUGCCUGACAAAGCUGUAGUUUUGUAGCUCGCUCCUCUCGGGGACACCUUGCCUGGCUAAAGUUGCAACUCCUGCCUUUGAUGGGGAAUUGCAUUUGUUUUAAACUAAGAGUCCUUUGCUCUGCUGGCAGCCAGGCUCUUUCAUGCAGCCUUGAAGAUCAGGAUUAGGUCAUACCAGAUGGACAGAAGGCUUUGUGCAGCCAUCUUUCCCUUCUGUCUUUUUUCCAGAAGGCAUGCUAUGGCAUAUGGGGAUCAGAGGACUGCUUGUGAGAAUCAGUUUUCUCCAUCUACCAUGUGGGUCCCCAGAGUCAAACUGAGGUCUGGUGGGUCUAUCGAAAGCACCCUUUACCUGUUGAAAUGCCUCACAGGCCCAACAAGUCAUUUCUAAAUGGUUAGAAUUCUGAGUUCUGAGACAUCCCUUCUAUGCUGUAACCAGGUGGGUGAGAAAGAUUUCAAAACCUCAGUCUACAGCGAAAGCAAUGGAGCCCGGAGCCCAGAGCCCGGAGCCCGGGAGCCCUGUGUUGCGUAUAUAGCAGCAGAAACCCUGGGUGGUUGGCCAUAUGGAAAUCUCCUCACUGUUCUUUGAGGGAGUUGGCAGGGGAGGGGCUCGUGCCGAGCUGUGCCAGCUCUUCAGGCACCUGUGAGAACCACAGAAGGACACAGGGCUGCCUGGUACACACCAGCUGCUCAGAGCCCCCGUGCCCCUCCCUGCACAGUUACAUAGGGAUCCUGGAUAAGGGAUGGGCAGUGUCUUAGGGUUUCUAUUUCUGUGAUAAAAUACCACGAACAAAAGCAACUUGGGGGGAAAAGGGGUUUAUUUCAGCUUACCACUCUCGGGGACACACUCUGUCACUCUGUCACUGAGAAAAGUCAGGGCAGGAACUCAGAGCAGGAACUUGGAUGCAGGACUGAAGAAGCAUGGAGGACCGCUGUUCACUGGCUUGCUCCUCGCGGCUUGCUCAUGUUACUUUCUUAUAUGCUGCAGUGUCACUUGCCAUCCAUCAGGCUUACCGAGAGGCACCGUCUUGACUGGGGUGGCUCUUCCCUAACAGCUUGUGUCAAGUUGACAACACAGCAACCAUCAGGACAGAGCAUGCUGAACGGGCUGCAGAAGUCUCCCGGAAGGAAGCUUUCCCUAAAGAAGGUGUCUCUCUCCUUUGGGAGUUAAAAACCUACUCUAUUUGAGUAGUUUGUGUCCCCACCUAUACAUACACAUAACUUAUUGUGACACCAAGUGGACACACAUACACACACUUCCCCAGACUUUCAUGGUACGACCCUGUGUGUAGUCAGCCUCUCAGAUCAUUUGGUUUAUGUUAGUGGAAUACCACCAUGUCCAAGUGUUUUUUGUUGGUGGUGGUUUUUGCUGUACCAGGGAUUGAACCCAUGCAGGGCAAGGGCUCUACCACUAAGCCAUAUCUUCAGGUCAUCAGUUAUAAAUAACUCCUACGAUGCUGGCACUUCUGCUGUCUGUCCUCUUUCUUGCUUAAGAGCAGUGUUUAUCGCUGUCGCAGGGGAACUGAACCGUUCAAAAGCAUUCGAAGAGCUAAGGGCAAUUGCAAUCCCCGUGGCUGUAUGGGAAUGGACUCCUCAAUAAAAUCCAUCCCUCUUAUAGCUGACUUGGAGAGCUUGCUUGCACGUGCAUGCACACACACGCACUCACAUGCACACGCACACCAAUGCAAUGGCUCUCACUCCUGUCUGUUUUAGAUUUUUCUAAAGCCCAGGGGACUUUUUUAAAAACAGUAAUGGCUGGAACCCAUCCUAGAUCAAUUUUCUUCAAGCCACUGGGGCUGGCCUGAGGCUUGAAUAUUUUACAUUUCCCAAGUGACUCUAUUAUGCAUCCAGGCUUGAGUGCACAUCCCAAGGGUACUCCUUGCUGAGAUUAUUUGCAAGGCCAUUUCCUGCACCAAGAAGCAAGUGAGAGGCAGCCCGCUUGGCCCCUCCAGAGCUAGAAGAACAGUGCAGACCCCUUGUCGUCUGGCAUUGCCUGCCUUAAUGAUAGGCACCUGUUUGAACUAACCUAAAAAAACCAAAAUCCCCAAAUCCAACAAUGAGGGGGCUGGAGACACAGAUCCUCAAGAGUACUGGCUGACUGUGGUGGUUUGAACAUGCUUGGUCCAGGCAGUGGCACUAGUAGGAGGUGUGACUUUGUUGGAAUAGGCAUGGCCUUGUUGGAGGAAGUGUGUCACUGUGGGUGUGAGCUUUAAGACCCUCAUCCUAGUUGCCUGAAAGCCAGUCUUCUCCUAGCGCCCGCCCUUCAGAUGAAGAUGUAGAGCUCUCAGCUCCUCCAGCACCAAGUCUGCCUGGACACUACCAGCCAUGUUUCCUGCUUUGAUGAUAAUGGACUGAACCUCAGAACAAGGUCCCAUGCAGCCGACACUGGCCUUGAACUCAUUCUGAAGCAGAGAUGACUUUGGAUUCCUGACCCACCUGCCUCUUCCCAAGAGCAGGGCUUACAGGCCUGCACUAACACAUCUGGCUCAGGUUGGCCUGUCUUUAAGAUUCAUAUUGUGGCUGUGGGUUUUGAAGUUCUGAGAGUGGUGUGUGGUCCAGAAACCGUCUGUGCAUUGUGUAUAUGCAGGAAAUUCUUGCUAGAGGCUCUGAAGCGCAGGAUGGCUUUGUUCUCCAGCACCAGGUGGCUACCUGUGCGUGUGAUGACUGGGCUGCACCCAGAAAAGCCCCACCCAAGGCACUAUUCUGAGCCGGCUUCAGCUCCUAAGGUACACAGUAAAGAUGAAGCAUUACGUCAUUUCAUAAACCACUUAAAAGCCCAGGAGUUUUUCCAGGUCCCCAGAAGGGAGAGGUUCCCGUGGCUCCCAGCUAUACUGUAGACUGACUGCCUUUUCUUGAAUAGCUCCCGAUACUCCAGUUUUCUACAUCUCCGGACCGAUGGUCGCCCCCCCCCCCAAGGGUUUUCUAGCUCACCCACUGUAUUAGUCAGGGCUCUCUAGAGUCACAGAACUUAUGGUUAGUUUCUACAUCGUAAGGGAAUUUGUUGACGACUUGCAGUCUGUAGUCCAACUCCCAACAAUGAAUGGUCUGCAGCAGCUGUGAAUGGGAAUCCAUGGAUCUAGCAGUUGCUCAGUCCCACAAGGCAAGCAGGCGAAAAAGAGAGAGUAAAUCUUCCUUCUUCCAACGUCCUUACGUAGGUCUCCAGCAGGAGGGGGUGGCCCAGAUUAAAGGUAUGUGCCCCCACGCCUUUAAUCCCAGAUGACCUUGAACUCAGAGAUCUCCCAGUCUUAAUCUUCUGAGAUUCAUAACCACUAUGCCUCAAGAUCUCCAUGCCAAGAUCCAGGUCAGAAACUUAUAUCUCCCAGCCUCCAGAUUAAGAUCACAGGUAAACCUUCCAAUUCUGGAUUAUAGUUCAUUCCACUAUAGUCACAGUUGACAACCAGGAAUAGCCACUACAAUCUACCCCUUGUCAGCUUGAAACAAAUAAUAUCUCGUGGGGCUGGUGAGAUGGCUCAGUGGGUAAGAGCACCCGACUGCUCUUCCGAAGGUCCAGAGUUCAAAUCCCAGCAACCACAUGGUGGCUCACAACCAUCUGUAACAAGAUCUGACUCCCUCUUCUGGAGUGUCUGAAGACAGCUACAGUGUACUUACAUAUAUUAAUAAAUAAAUCUUUAAAAAAAAAUAAUAUCUCGUGUCCACUGAAAUAAUAACAAGGUCAUGAAUAUGCCUAACAUGAUAUAACUAUUCCUUGUACAAUCGCAAACACAUUUGUAAAUUUAUAGUGGGGCAAUGUCCCUUGGGAACAUUCUUUUAGUGUCUCAAUUUAAAUACCAAUUGUUGUUAAAGAAACUGGAAGAAAGAUACAUGUUUUCUUAACAAAAUAAGACAGAAGCAUUCAUAGUGCUUUACAAUCCUGGUUUCUGCAAUUGGUUCUGUGACCUUGGCUGAUAUCUAUAAUUACCAUCCUCUACUACCCAUUCUGUAUUUCCUUCACCCUCGGCAAACAACUCAGCAGGUCUUGGCUCUUUUCCUGGAGGACUGACCCAUCCCUUCAUCCUUUGUCAUCCUGCUUGGAUUAGGCUGUUGUAGUUUCCCAUUGACUUUAAUCACAGGACAUGGUAGUACUAAGAGACGCCGUAAGGGAUCUCCUGCACUCCAGACAUAAUCCUGCUUACCUCCAUUGUGGAGAGGCAAGCCAAUUUCCCCGUGGUAAUCUGGAUCUAUCACCCCUCCUAACACUGUUAUUAUUGAACUUUCUUACCUUGUUGGUUUAAGAGCGUUAGAAGCCCAAAAUGACCAGGGGGAAGUCUGAGCUUCCAGUUCAAUGGAAUGUUUGUUGUGGCUCCUGGUACGAGCACUCCCCCUUCUGGAACCAAAACUUCUAGGCUAGCAGAACCUAGAGUUGUGGGGACAGGAAGCAGAAACUUUCCUAGAGGGUCACUAGGAUGACAGUGAGUGGAACUAUUCCCUUUCCACCCCUUGAUUCCUGGACCCAUGGAUCCUGGCUAUGGGAGGAACUGUACCAUAUAUCAGACUCUGAUUCAAAGCAUAUUCUGCCUUCUGUAGACCCUGACCCCAGCCCUCCAUGCUGCUGCUACCUAAUUGGUGCUGUAACUGUGUCUUCAAAAGGCCAUUCCAUCUUUCUGGUAAAUAUAUACGCAUAUAUGUGUAACAUUACCAUAACACCCUGUGUUAUAUAUAUAUAUAUAUAUCUUUCCUUAGCAUUAUUUUUUAAAACAUUUCCACGUUUCCUCAUGGUAAUAUUUAUUUUGCUGUUGAAUAUUUCAUUGCAUUGAAUGGACAUUGUAAGCUAUAUGUUUCUGUAUUUUAGAGGCCUUGUCACAAGAUGUGUAUACUUUAACCAGAAGGUUUAUAAUUUUCAUAAAAGUUAUUUCAUAUUAAAAAAACAAAAUACUUGACUUGUUUUGGUUCUGAUGAGUUUUUGUUUUUGUUUUUUGUUUGUUUGUUUGUUUUGUUUUUUGGUUUUCAAGACAGGGUUUCUCUGUGUAGCCCUGGCUGUCCUGGAACUCACUUUGUAGACCAGGCUGGCCUUGAACUCAGAAAUCCGCCUGCCUCUGCCUCCUGAGUGCUAGGAUUAAAGGCGUGUGCCACCACGCCUGGCUUCUGAUGAGUUCUUAACAUAUUUCUAAAAAAUUAAUCUUGUUUGUUUGUUCUUUGAGACAGGGUCUCACUAUGUAGCCUUGGCUGGCUGACAACUU